rnacentral:snoRNA from 1 species
UGAUGGUAAUGAAGGCAAUUCCUGAGCAUAGCCUUGAAUCUUUCCCAAGCUUGGUAAAGAUUCUCUCCAUCUUUUUGCCUGAAAAUCAAAAUCUCAUUUCUUAAACG